CUCUGUGAAAACAAAACAAAUAUCGUUGCCGUUGUGGUCAAAGUCGAUCGAAUAUGUGAUAUCGUCUCUAUUUCUUUUAAAUUUUAUGAAGAUCAUGCUACGAAUACACCAUAUUUUGCCUUUACGAUAUCGGGAAACAAACUAACCAGCAUUGGUAGUACCCGCCAGAAAACUUUUGCAACAGAUGUUGCCCGUAGCAGCGUAAAUGGAUUUGCAGACAUGAUCCGGUGAAGAGGUGAUUAGUUAUGGAUGUCGAUUAUUAACUGAUGCCGGAGGCAUACUUGUUUCUGGCUCGAGAAAUGAAUCGUGCUCUACGUCUAUGUUGCAGUCUUCUUUUAUGUUGUUUAUGUUAAUUUUACUACCCACAGUGUGUUAUUCUUUCAACCCACUGUAAGCAGACCAUAUUAAAAAUACGAGAAAGGUGAAGCAGCUAUCCAAUUGCUUACAAUUGCUUAUAUAGUGCAUUUGUAGUACAGUGGCACACUAAAUAUAUUAUUACAAAUAAUGAACAAAUGAAAAGAAGUGAAUUUUUGGUAGAUGUUUUAUUUAAUGUUUUAUGUAAAGACGAAAUAUGUGAAGUGAUUAAUACAAAAACAUACUCAGCUGCCUUCUAUUUUAUAACGUAGAUUUUUUUAUUAGUAUUCUUAACGUAUCGAUCAACGCUACUGUUUUAUCUCGACGAAGUUAGUAUCUAUCCGCAAAGAUUGGAUUUUCUUACAAAUUAUAAUUCUGGUAGGUUCA